GACGAACGCUGGCGGCGUGCCUAAUACAUGCAAGUAGAACGCACAGUUUAUACCUUUGCUUGCUACACCAUAGACUGUGAGUUGCGAACGGGGGAGUUACGCGUAGGUAACCUGCCUGGUAGCUGGGGAUAACUAUUGGAAACGCUAGCUAAUACCUCAUAAUAUUAAUUAUUGCUUGGUAAUUAUUUGAAGGGUGCAAUUGCACCACUACCAAUUGGACUUGCGUUGUAUUAGCUAGUAGGUGAGGUAAAGGCUCACCUAGGCGACGAAACAUAGCCGACCUGCGAGGGUGAUCAGCCAGACUGGGACUGAGACACGGCCCAGACUGCUACGGGAGGCAGCAGUAGGGAAUCUUCGGCAAUGGACGAAAGUCUGACCGAGCAACGCGGCGUGAGUGAAGAAGGAUUUCGGAUCGUAAAGCUCUGUUGUAGGGGAAGAACGGGCGUGAGAGUGGAAAGUUCACACUGUGACGGUAACUGACCAGAAAGGGACGGCUAACUACGUG
rnacentral:rRNA from 1 species